AAAUUUUCUUUUAAGUAGAAAAUGAUAAUUCUUAUUUACCGAAAAAGAAUGCAGGGGCUACUAACUCAUGUGACCGUACUUAAAAUUACGGCUUUUUCAAACUUUUAAAGGAUAGAAGUUAUCCGUUGGUCUUAGGAACCAAAAAUUGGUGCAACUCCAAGUAAAAGUUAUAAAUAUAUUUUCCGCAGCUAUAUUACUAUCACUUAUUAUUUUACUCUUACUCCCAAUUAACAAUACU